rnacentral:misc_RNA from 1 species
UUUCCGUAGGUGAACCUGCGGAAGGAUCAUUAUCGUACACAAUGUGAUGCGCAUUCCAGGGCUGUCGCCGUCCCAUAACACGUGCACAACCGCGUGUGUCCUCUUGCAUAUUCACCCAUCUCACCCUCUGUGCAUCACCGCGUGUGCCCCCUUCGGGAUCAUCACGCUGAAUUGCUCGCGUAUACACAUACAUCCCCCUUUUAAAAGUGUAGAAUCUCCACAUUUACGCAAACCACAAAACUUUCAACAACGGAUCCCUUGGUUCUCACAUCGAUGUAG